rnacentral:rRNA from 1 species
AACACGAAGUGAGUGGCGAACGGGUGAGUAACACGUGGGUAACCUGCCCAGAAGUAGGGGAUAACACCUGGAAACAGAUGCUAAUACCGUAUAACAGAGAAAACCGCAUGGUUUUCUUUUAAAAGAUGGCUCUGCUAUCACUUCUGGAUGGACCCGCGGCGUAUUAGCUAGUUGGUGAGGUAAAGGCUCACCAAGGCAGUGAUACGUAGCCGACCUGAGAGGGUAAUCGGCCACAUUGGGACUGAGACACGGCCCAGACUCCUACGGGAGGCAGCAGUAGGGAAUCUUCCACAAUGGACGCAAGUCUGAUGGAGCAACGCCGCGUGAGUGAAGAAGGGUUUCGGCUCGUAAAGCUCUGUUGUUAAAGAAGAACGUGGGUAAGAGUAACUGUUUACCCAGUGACGGUAUUUAACCAGAAAGCCACGGCUAACUACGUGCCAGCAGCCGCGGUAAUACGUAGGUGGCAAGCGUUAUCCGGAUUUAUUGGGCGUAAAGCGAGCGCAGGCGGUCUUUUAAGUCUAAUGUGAAAGCCUUCGGCUCAACCGAAGAAGUGCAUUGGAAACUGGGAGACUUGAGUGCAGAAGAGGACAGUGGAACUCCAUGUGUAGCGGUGAAAUGCGUAGAUAUAUGGAAGAACACCAGUGGCGAAGGCGGCUGUCUGGUCUGCAACUGACGCUGAG